rnacentral:rRNA from 1 species
AACGAACGCUGGCGGCAUGCCUAACACAUGCAAGUCGAACGAGACCUUCGGGUCUAGUGGCUCACGGGUGCGUAACGCGUGGGAACCUGCCCUUAGGUUCGGAAUAACUCCCCUAAAGGGGUGCUAAUACCGGAUAAUUUCUUCGGACCAAAGAUUUAUCGCCUUUGGAUGGGCCCGCGUUGGAUUAGCUUGUUGGUAGGGUAAAAGCCUACCAAGGCUACGAUCCAUAGCUGGUCUGAGAGGAUGAGCAGCCACACUGGGACUGAGACACGGCCCAGAAUACUACGGGAGGCAGCAGUGGGGAAUAUUGGAAAAUGGGGGAAAGCCUGAACCAGCAAUGCCGCGUGAGUGAUGAAGGACUUAGGGUUGUAAAGCUCUUUUACCCGGGAUGAUAAUGACAGUACCGGGAGAAUAAGCUCCGGCUAACUCCGUG